UUGUAGUCUGCAACUCGACUACAUGAAGCUGGAAUCGCUAGUAAUCGCAGAUCAGAAUGCUGCGGUGAAUACGUUCCCGGGUCUUGUACACACCGCCCGUCACACCAUGGGAGUCGGAUAUGCCCGAAGCCAGUGACCCAACCGUAAGGAGGGAGCUGUCGAAGGUGGAGCCGAUAACUGGGGUGAAGUCGUAACAAGGUAUC
rnacentral:rRNA from 1 species